GGAAAACCAAAAAGAAGUUGAAUACAGGGACUCGAGAAUCUCGAGAAAAGUACCCUGGCUACUUAGAUCUGUUUAAUCGACUAUCACAUGAGCUGAUGACGUCAGUGCCAUUCCCUACUCUUCUCCAAACUCGACGAGAAGCUUUACCAAUUAUUCAGAACAUCGCCAAAGGAUACAAAUCUACACUGGGUCCUCAUCAUCAGAUGACUGAACAAGCCUGUGCUAAGGUUGAAAAGUUACGAUCAGAAUUACAAGACAAUGAUGUGUUUCUAUGAUCAGAUGACUGAACAAGCCUGUGCUAAGGUUGAAAAGUUACGAUCAGAAUUACAAGACAAUGAUGUGUUUCUGUGAUGGAGCCUCAUCAUUGAUGUAGAAUGAUGCUCAUUGACAGUGGUUUGCUGAAUUUGCCCAAACUGGUUCUAUACAAACCAACAGCUGACAACUUUAGAUCCCGGUCCGUCUAUUGAAAUUCAGUUCGACCCCUUCCUUUCGUAUUCAGUCCUACAUGCAUCCUUAAAUCCUUGACCUACCUU